UUUUCUUUCUAUAUUUAAAUGCUAAAAUUUUGGAAAAUCAUUAUGAAGGUGAGGGAGAAAUUAAUCACACAUUGUGAAGAUCAAAUACUAGAGAGUAAAAAUCACCAAUUUGUAGAGAUGAUGGAGAAUCUAUUUGCUAUUGUAAUAUAUCAAAUCUCUUUUGUUUAUGAUUAGAUAUUGUUAUGACUUAGACUCUUAUUAUGUGAUUUUAAAGUAUCUUAGUUUAUUUGACUUCUAAAAUCUUUUUUUAUAGGUCACAAACAUGUAUGAAUCUUAUAGAAUACAUUAUAAAUCAAAUGUUCACUUAGUUUUCUUUA